UACGUAGGUGGCAAGCGUUGUCCGGAUUUAUUGGGCUUAAAGGGUGCGUAGGCGGCUUUGUAAGUCAGUGGUGAAAUAUGGCAGCUCAACUGUCAGGGUGCCAUUGAUACUGCGGAGCUUGAGUACAGAUGAGGUAGGCGGAAUUGACGGUGUAGCGGUGAAAUGCUUAGAUAUCGGCAAGAACACCGAUAGCGAAGGCAGCUUACUAGGCUGUAACUGACGCUGAGGCACGAAAGUGUGGGGAUCAAACAGG
rnacentral:rRNA from 1 species